rnacentral:rRNA from 1 species
UCAAGAAUAUUCCCCAAUGGACGAAAGUCUGAGGGAGCGACGCCGCGUGCAGGAUGAAGUCCUUCGGGAUGUAAACUGCUUUUGUGGGGGACGAACCUAUGACGGUACCCCAAGAAUAAGAGGUUGCUAACUCUGUGCCAGCAGCAGCGGUAAUACAGAGACCUCGAGCGUUAUCCGGAUUUAUUGGGCGUAAAGCGUGCGCAGGCUUUCCAAAAAGUCUUUGGUUAAAUCCUAAAGCUCAACUUUAGAAUCGCCAGAGAAACUUUUGGAAUUGAGGCCGGGAGAGGUCAGCGGAAUUGCCGGUGUAACGGUAAAAUGUGUUAAUAUCGGCAAGAACACCAGAGGCGAAGGCGGCUGACUAGAACGGAUCUGACGCUGUGGCACGAAAGCGUGGGGAGCGAAUGGG